AUCGCUUCUCAGCCUUUUGGCUAAGAUCAAAUGUAGCAUCUUUAGUAGCUCUGGUGCAGUGGUGAUGAACCUAUGGCACACGUGCCACAAUGGGCUGUUUGUUAUCAUUGAAAGUUCUAAAAGGUUUGCCUUCACUGCUCUAGUUUCUGAAGCUACAAAGCCUCCCCUC
rnacentral:snRNA from 1 species